rnacentral:rRNA from 2 species
CGGCGUGCUAAUACAUGCAAGUCGAACGAGUUCUCGUUGAUGAUCGGUGCUUGCACCGAGAUUCAACAUGGAACGAGUGGCGGACGGGUGAGUAACACGUGGGUAACCUGCCCUUAAGUGGGGGAUAACAUUUGGAAACAGAUGCUAAUACCGCAUAGAUCCAAGAACCGCAUGGUUCUUGGCUGAAAGAUGGCGUAAGCUAUCGCUUUUGGAUGGACCCGCGGCGUAUUAGCUAGUUGGUGAGGUAAUGGCUCACCAAGGCGAUGAUACGUAGCCGAACUGAGAGGUUGAUCGGCCACAUUGGGACUGAGACACGGCCCAAACUCCUACGGGAGGCAGCAGUAGGGAAUCUUCCACAAUGGACGCAAGUCUGAUGGAGCAACGCCGCGUGAGUGAAGAAGGCUUUCGGGUCGUAAAACUCUGUUGUUGGAGAAGAAUGGUCGGCAGAGUAACUGUUGUCGGCGUGACGGUAUCCAACCAGAAAGCCACGGCUAACUACGUGCCAGCAGCCGCGGUAAUACGUAGGUGGCAAGCGUUAUCCGGAUUUAUUGGGCGUAAAGCGAGCGCAGGCGGUUUUUUAAGUCUGAUGUGAAAGCCCUCGGCUUAACCGAGGAAGCGCAUCGGAAACUGGGAAACUUGAGUGCAGAAGAGGACAGUGGAACUCCAUGUGUAGCGGUGAAAUGCGUAGAUAUAUGGAAGAACACCAGUGGCGAAGGCGGC